GUUUAUUAUUAAUUUAUGAGUUUGACUGUCCCUCUGGUAUCUUUUGUCCCUCUUCUAGUACGCCAGACGAGAGUUUUGUCUACAUAAGAAUCAUCAGUGACGCUUAUAUCAAAAAGUUAUAAAGCCAAACAAAUACAAUAUUGAAGAGCAUUGCGGAGCCAAAAUUCAAACAAAUGUGCCAAAUGCGACUACGGUAAUAUAUGCCUGGUUUACGAAAAUCCUUAGUUUUUCGAAAAAAUCAAAGUUUUGUAAACAGGAAAUUUAUAAAAAUGAUCAUUAAUUGAUAUUCACUUCAACACCGAAGUGCUGACUACUGGGCUGGUGAUACCCUGGGGGACGAAACUUUCACCAGCAGUGGCAUCGACCCAGUGGUGUAAAUAGUUAUCAAAGGUAUCAGGAUUAUAAUUUAGUACUCCAGACGCGCGUUUCGUCUACAUAAGACUCAUCAGUGACGCUCAUAUUAAAACAAAGUUAUAUAGCCAAACAAGUACAAAGUUGAAGAACUUUGAGGAUCCAAAAUUCCAAAAAGUUGUGCCAAAACAUAUGAACACAGUUUCUUGUACAUUUGUUGUAACACAAAAUAAAACCAUUUUAUUGUCUGAUUUGACAAAGGUCACUAUUUUCAUUAUUAAGACACAUAUAUAUAAUGGUUU
rnacentral:lncRNA from 1 species